ensembl:ncRNA Y71H2AM.27 ncRNA
AAAUGUGCAAAACGCACGGUGUAAUUGUAUUCGAAUUUGACGGGGAAGAGCCGAGAGGUUAGAGGACACAAUUGAUAGAGAUGAGAGAGAAAUGGAAAUGUUACACAAAAAUAUCUCGAUGGUCCCUCAACGGAUAGAGAGUACUAGCU